rnacentral:rRNA from 1 species
AUUGAACGCUGGCGGCAGGCCUAACACAUGCAAGUCGAGCGGAUGAAGGGAGCUUGCUCCUGGAUUCAGCGGCGGACGGGUGAGUAAUGCCUAGGAAUCUGCCUGGUAGUGGGGGAUAACGUCCGGAAACGGGCGCUAAUACCGCAUACGUCCUGAGGGAGAAAGUGGGGGAUCUUCGGACCUCACGCUAUCAGAUGAGCCUAGGUCGGAUUAGCUAGUUGGUGGGGUAAAGGCCUACCAAGGCGACGAUCCGUAACUGGUCUGAGAGGAUGAUCAGUCACACUGGAACUGAGACACGGUCCAGACUCCUACGGGAGGCAGCAGUGGGGAAUAUUGGACAAAGGGCGAAAGCCUGAUCCAGCCAUGCCGCGUGUGUGAAGAAGGUCUUCGGAUUGUAAAGCACUUUAAGUUGGGAGGAAGGGCAGUAAGUUAAUCCCUUGCUGUUUUGACGUUACCAACAGAAUAAGACCCGGCUAACUUCGUG